AGCGACCAGCAUCUUGGUUCCACACCAACAAGAUUAAAGUUAUGGAGUGGCCAGCCCAAUCCCCGGACCUUAAUCCAAUAGAAAACUUGUGGGGUGACAUCAAAAAUACAGUUUUUGAGGCAAGACCAUGAAAUGCAGAGGAAUUCUGGAAUGUAGUCCAAUGUCCUGGGCUGGAAAACCUAUUCGCAGGUGCCAGAAAGCACAGAUGUAAAUUAGUUCUCAGAAACGGUGGUUAUACAACUAAAUAUUAGUUCAGUGAUUCACAGGAAAGAUAAAUCUUCAGGAAUUUUUCAGUUAUUAGAGUAAAUAUUUGAGUUUGUCAAGAAAAUUGCAGACACUGCUACUUUCUUGAACAGCAGUGGCCUCUUCUCUACUUUUC